rnacentral:tRNA from 1 species
UAUAAUUAAAUGUAUGAAACAUAUUAAAUUUUGAUUUUAAUUAUAAUAGUUUAAUUCUAUUAAUUAUAA